UACGUAGGUGACAAGCGUUGUCCGGAUUUACUGGGCGUAAAGAGCGCGCAGGCGGUCGAUCAAGUCGAGUGUGAAAGCCCCCGGCUCAACUGGGGAGGGUCAUUCGAUACUGAUCGACUCGAAGGCAGGAGAGGGUAGUGGAAUUCCCAGUGUAGAGGUGAAAUUCGUAGAUAUUGGGAGGAACAUCAGUGGCGAAGGCGACCACCUGGACGAAGACUGACGCUGAGGCGCGAGAGCGUGGGGAGCAAACAGG
rnacentral:rRNA from 1 species